AUUGAACGCUGGCGGCAGGCUUAACACAUGCAAGUCGAGCGGGGUGAUGGUGCUUGCACUAUCACUUAGCGGCGGACGGGUGAGUAAUGCUUAGGAAUCUGCCUAUUAGUGGGGGACAACAUCUCGAAAGGGAUGCUAAUACCGCAUACGUCCUACGGGAGAAAGCAGGGGAUCACUUGUGACCUUGCGCUAAUAGAUGAGCCUAAGUCGGAUUAGCUAGUUGGUGGGGUAAAGGCCUACCAAGGCGACGAUCUGUAGCGGGUCUGAGAGGAUGAACCGCCACACUGGGACUGAGACACGGCCCAGACUCCUACGGGAAGCAGCAGUGGGGAAGAUUGGACAAUGGGGGGAACCCUGAUCCAGCCAUGCCGCGUGUGUGAAGAAGGCCUUAUGGUUGUAAAGCACUUUAAGCGAGGAGGAGGCUUACCUAGUUAAUACCUGGGAUAAGUGGACGUUACUCGCAGAAUAAGCACCGGCUAACUCUGUGCCAGCCGCCGCGGUAA
rnacentral:rRNA from 1 species